rnacentral:rRNA from 1 species
UGACAGUACUCCUACGGGGAGGCAGCAGUGGGGGAAUAUUGCACAAUGGGCGCAAGCCUGAUGCAGCCAUGCCGCGUGUGUGAAGAAGGACCUUCGGGUUGUAAAGCACUUUCAGUCGUGAGGAAGGUAGUGUAGUUAAUAGCUGCAUUAUUUGACGUUAGCGACAGAAGAAGCACCGGCUAACUCCGUGCCAGCAGCCGCGGUAAUACGGAGGGUGCGAGCGUUAAUCGGAAUUACUGGGCGUAAAGCGCAUGCAGGUGGUUUGUUAAGUCAGAUGUGAAAGCCCGGGGCUCAACCUCGGAAUAGCAUUUGAAACUGGCAGACUAGAGUACUGUAGAGGGGGGUAGGAAUUUCAGGUGUAGCGGUGAAAUGCGUAGAGAUCUGAAGGAAUACCGGUGGCGAAGGCGGCCCCCUCGGACAGAUACUGACACUCAGAUGCGAAAGCGUGGGUAGCAAACAGGAUUAGAUACCCUGGUAG